UGAAGAACAGGGCGGCAGUCGUCAGGUGUAGGCAAAUUAUUUAUAGACAGGACAGCUCGACAGAGGACGCAGCUCAGAUGAAUCUCCGGAAAGAACUGAACAUCGCAGAGAAUGUGGAACUGCACGAAGGUUUUUAACGACGCCUCGCUUCGAUGUCCCGACAUAAACUUGGAAACCGACAUCAAGCAAUAUGGCUGCUGUGGCACGGAAGCAGUGUGGUGUGUAAGUCUUAAUGCACUUUGACGACUUAUCGGCCAUACAUCCUGUGAACGACCUUUUUGCUAAAGCCUAAUGUCAUCGUCUAGCAGUAGGUACAAUUCCGCAUCACCGAUGACCAAGGUGAAGUUGUAGCAGACGAAAUUUUAGACAUAUGGCCUAGUAGGCUAGUAACUAAAGACAUUGUUUACAGUUAUGCUUUUAUCAAUUAUUGAUGAAAGUCCACUGCUUGGGAUACAAAUAAAACCGUAAAUACAUUU